rnacentral:rRNA from 1 species
AUUGAACGCUGGCGGCAGGCCUAACACAUGCAAGUCGAGCGGAUGAAGGGAGCUUGCUCCUGGAUUCAGCGGCGGACGGGUGUGUAAUGCCUAGGAAUCUGCCUGGCAGUGGUGGAUAACGUCCGGAAACGAGUGCUAAUACCACAUACGACCUGCGGGUGCAAGAGGGGGGUCUUCGGACCUCAUGCUCUCAGAUGGGCCUAGGUCGGGUUAGCCAGUUGGUGGGGUAGGGGCCUACCGAGGCGAGGAUUCGUGACUGGUCUGUUUGGAGGAUCAGUCACACUGGAACUGAGACACGGACCUGACUACUGCGGGAGGCAGCAGUGGGGAAUAGGGGACAAUGGGCGGAAGCAUUGUCCAACCGUGCCGCGUGUGUGAAGAAGGUCUUCGGAUUGGAAAGCACUUUAAGGUGGGGGGAAGGGCAUUAAGUUAAUACCUUGCGGUAUUGACGUUACCAACAGAAUAAGCACCGGCUAACUACGUG